rfam:Aurantimonas sp. TSBA 369 genome assembly, contig: Ga0111599_106
AUGCGGGACACUCCUCCCCAACGAGGGGCGCCUAUCUGUAAGGGUAGCUACA